CCGGGAAUGAUCCUUCGGGUGAAUGAAUGGUUGGAAAGUGGCGAACGGGUGAGUAACGCGUGGGUAACCUGCCCUAUGGAAAGGAAUAGCCUCGGGAAACUGGGAGUAAUGCCUUAUAAUAUACAGAAGUCGCAUGGCUUUUGUAUUAAACGCUCCGGUGCCAUAGGAUGGACCCGCGUCCCAUUAGCUAGUUGGUGAGAUAACAGCCCACCAAGGCGACGAUGGGUAACCGGUCUGAGAGGGCGAACGGUCACACUGGAACUGAGACACGGUCCAGACUCCUACGGGAGGCAGCAGUGGGGAAUUUUGGACAAUGGGGGCAACCCUGAUCCAGCCAUGCCGCGUGAGUGAAGAAGGCCUUCGGGUUGUAAAGCUCUUUCGGCCGGGAAGAAAUCGCACGGGCUAAUACCUUGUGUGGAUGACGGUACCGGAAUAAGAAGCACCGGCUAACUACGUGCCAGCAGCCGCGGUAAUACGUAGGGUGCGAGCGUUAAUCGGAAUUACUGGGCGUAAAGCGUGCGCAGGCGGUUUUUUAAGACAGGCGUGAAAUCCCCGGGCUUAACCU
rnacentral:rRNA from 1 species